UACGAAGGGCCCAAGCGUUAUCCGGAUUUAUUGGGCUUAAAGGGUGCGUAGGCGGGUUAUUAAGUCAGGGGUGAAAGCCUUCAGCUUAACUGAAGAAUUGCCAUUGAUACUGAUGAUCUUGAGUAUGAUUGAGGUGGGCGGAAUGUGUCAUGUAGCGGUGAAAUGCUUAGAUAUGACACAGAACACCGAUUGCGAAGGCAGCUCACUAAGUCAUAACUGACGCUGAUGCACGAAAGCGUGGGGAGCAAACAGG
rnacentral:rRNA from 1 species